AAUGAAAAUAAUGUGUGUUGCAUAAAUAAAGGAAAAUAUUCAGAUCAGUACUUAAGUUCAUAGUGGGUCAUCAGAAUGCAUUACAAUUUUGUAAGGAUACAACACUGAAUAUCAUUUUCUUUUUUUGAGACAGGGUCUUGCUCUGUUGUCCAGGCUGGAGUACAGUAGUGUGAUCAUAGCUCACUGUAGCCUCAAACUCCCAGCCUCAAGCAAUCUUCCUGCCUCAGCCUCCUGAGUAGCUGGGACCACAGGUACACACCACCACGCCCAGCUAAUUUUUUUUUUUUUGAGGCAGAGUCUCACUCUGUUGCCCAGGCUGGAGUGCAUUGGCACGAUCUCAGCUCACUGCAAGUUCCGCCUCCCAGGUUCACACCAUUCUCCUGCCUCAGCCUCCCAAGUAGCUGGGACUACAGGCGCCUGCCACCAUGCCCGGCUAAUUUUUUGUAUUUUUAGUAGAGAUGGGGUUUCACCAUAUUAGCAAGGAUGAUCUCGAUCUCCUGACCUCGUGAUCCGUCCGUCUCAGCCUCGCAAAGUGCUGGGAUUACAGACGUGAGCCACUGCGCCUGGCUGGCCCAGCUAAUUAAAAAAAAAAAAUUUUUUUUUUUUAGAGUUGGGGUCUUGCUAUGUUGCCCAGGCUGGUCUCCAACUCCUGGGCACAAGCAAUCCUCCUGCUUUGGCCUCCCAAUAUGUUGGGGUUACAGGCAUGAGCCACCACACCCAGCCAGAUUAUUUCCAUAUAAUUCUUAAGGGAUAGUAUAAUCCCAAAGCAGCCAUAACUGUGUGGUUUAGAAACAGUGGUUCUCAAAGGGUACUCCCUGGACCAACAGCAUCAGCAUUCUGUCAGAACUUGCUAGAAUUUCAAAUUCUCACCCUCACCCCAGCCCUACUCUGGGAUGGGUCCUUGCAAUCUGGGUUUUCACAAGCCCUCCUGGUGACUCUGGUGCACACGCAAGUUUGAGAACUGACGGCUAGGGCUUCAGUCUGAAGCUUCCUAUGUCCUAUGUCAUGAAUGGUUUAUUACAUCUAGAAUUUUCUUUCCUUUCUUUCUCUCUUUCUUUCCUUCCUUCCUUCCUUCCUUCCUUCCUUCCUUCUUUCCUUCCUUCCUUCCUUCUUUCUUUCUUUUUGAGACAGAGUCUUACUCUGUUGCCCACGCUGGAGUGCAGUGGCAUGAUGUUGGCUCACUACAACCUCUGCCUCCUAGGUUUAAGCGAUUCUCCUGCCUCAGCCUCCCAAAUAGCUGGGAUUACACACACAGCCACCAAGCCUGGGUAAUUUUUGCAUUGUUAGUAGAGAUGAGGUUUCACCAUGUGGCCAGGCUGGUCUCGAACUCCUGACCUCAAGCGAUCUGCCUGCCUCAGCCUCCCAAAGUCCUGGGAUUACAGGCGUGACCCACCAUGCCCAGCCUAUGUCUAGAAUUUUCUGUAUUGAUACUUCAACUUGUUCAGAUCCUUUAACAGUAUAUUUCAUGUAAUUUUCCUGACUACAGAAAAAAAAUUGUCUUUAGCAAUUAGAAAAAGGAACAGCUCCAGUGCCUGGAGCUCCA
rnacentral:lncRNA from 1 species